rnacentral:lncRNA from 1 species
CUCCUCGUGAUGGUACCAAAUAAAUCUGGAUAGUCAGAUUCCAUCACUUUAAUCGAACGGUUCAAAUUGCAGGGAGAAAAAUGUAAAAUCCACUCUAUCUCUUAACUCAGACAGCCAACUGCUGCCACAGUCGCCGGACCUCCACGAACUUACAUGCCGUCUCUAAUCUCUGACAACCUCUACCGGCCGCUGCCUACCCUUGGCCAGACCUUCCUGGACCAAUCGUCCAAUAACCUGACCCACCACCAUCGUCGUCUGGAGUCUGGACGAACAUCACCAUCUACCGGGGAAGGCGAUAUUGACUCAUACUAACUACAUAAGCUUAUAUCAUACGGCGAUAUUAUAUUGUUCCUAUAUGGGAACUAUCUGCCACGAAGUAUCACAUUUUUUUUAAACACAGAGAUACAUCCAUAACGAGAUGAUGUUUUAUUCAUUAGAACAUGCUCUCACAUACACACAAGACACAACAACGACAAUAACAAGUUUUUUAGCCGACGGUUUAUCAGCCGAAGCAGGGCACAACGUAGCCACUAUCGCCUCCCGUAGAGUUAUCAGCUUCCUUUCCGAAGACAGGCCAAUGGAGGUGGGAGUUAUCAGCCUUUCCGAAGCACGGCACAACGUAGCCACUAUCGCCCCCCAUAGAGUUAUCAGUUGCCUUUCCGAAGACAGGCCAAUUGCAGACGGAGUUAUCAGCUUCCUUUCCGAAGACAGGCCAAUUGCGGACGGAGUUAUCAGCUUCCUUUCCGAAGACAGGCCAAUUGCGGACGGAGUUAUCAGCUUCCUUUCCGAAGACAGGCCAAUGGAGGGGGGAGUUAUCAGCCUUUCCGAAGACAGGCCAAUGGAGGUGGGAGUUAUUAGCCUUUCCGAAGACAGGCCAAUUGCGGACGGAGUUAUCAGCUUCCUUUCCGAAGACAGGCCAAUGGAGGUGGGAGUUAUUAGCCUUUCCGAAGACAGGCCAAUUGCGAACGGAGUUAUCAGCCUUUCCGAAGACAGGCCAAUGGAGGUGGGAGUUAUUAGCCUUUCCGAAGACAGGCCAAUUGCGGACAUUAUCAGCCUUUCCGAAGCAGGGCACAACGUAGCCACUAUCGCCUCUCGUAGAGUUAUCAUCAGCUGCCUUUCCGAAGACAGGCCAAUUGCUGACGGAGUUAUCAGCCUUUCCGAAGACAGGCCAAUUGCGGACGGAGUGAUCAGCCUUGGCCGACGGCAAGGAAACGGUAGGGGCUGUAGGAACCCUAAAGGUGGAAGCAAGUGCAAAGGCAGAAGAAGCCAUUGAUAUGAUAGUGUUUUUUUCAAGUUAUGGAAGAUUGGUGGGUGAAGUGUUGGAGUGUUCAUGUUGCGGUAUUUAUAGCCGUCUUAGAGUGCAAUACAUUUCAAAGGAUAUUAAUUUUUUUUUAAAAACCUCUUUCUUACUAGUAUGUUUUGGACCAAAUAUCUAAAUCAUCCAGUAAUUCUGGCCGGGUUAAUCACAUAUUCGUUUCGAAACUUCCAAUGUUGUGCAUUAGCCUCGUGAAUAACAAACCGGGCGGAUUAGAGUCGUUAUGGAUGGUAAGCUAUGAAACCAAUGUGCCAACGUUUGGCAGUUUCGGAACUGAAAUCAACGUAACCCAACCGGAGCCGUGGUUACCGAAACCAGUUAUGUAUUUUCGACCGGUUGAUUUUCCGAUAUAUAUUUAAAAUGAUUGUUGCCUUAAUAAGGUCAAAAUAUUUUUUACUUUCCCUAGCAACCACUCCUUUUUAACUUCCCCAAUUGACACUUGGUCAAAAAGUUAUUUGUAACUCCUCAAUUUUAAUUACAACCUUCCAUUUGGCUCCAUAACCCAUUCCAUGCCAGUUUUUCAGGGUCCCUUCUUACCAAACUAAUCUUGACCCUUCAUCGUGACUUCGUUUGUAAUGAACGGUGCAGAAAAGUUCUUUUUUCUUCGUGAUUCGCAAACUCCCUUUGUACAUGCUUAUCCGGUUGUUUUUCAAUUUUUUCCUCUUCACUCUUUCGUACCAUGCUUAGCUCCAAUACGGGAUAAUUAGCUAUGUUACGCUCAGCCAUUACGUUUUUCAUAUCAAAUUCAAAGAAACCAUCUCAUGCGUGUGGAAAUCUGAUGAAAAGAAGCUAAACAAG